UUCACUUAAGGUGGGUGAGAUAUCAAGGUUAUGAUACUAUGAUUUUUUUCUGACUUUUGUGAAUGAUUUUAAAUUUAAAAUUUGCAUGAGAACUUUUUCAAUAUCUAACCUAAUAGCAUGCAUUUUUCAAUUGUCUAAUACUUUUUUUAAGGGACAAAAUAAAGAUUUACCAAUAAAUUGAAUUUUUUCGUGAUUAUGUAACUAGAGAAGGCAUUGAUUUUGUGAUAGUGUAUGUUUUUAUAUCAAUCCAUGAAAAUUCUCUGCUCUCACUGGACCGAUUUUAAUAAUCAAUACGUCAAAAGGACCAGAUUAUAAUAUUAUUUAACUACUCAGUGCCAAAAUUACGAUACCGUAAAAAAUAGCAUUUUCAAACAUUUUUUCUUGCAUUUUAAAACUGAUUGAUAACUGUAUGAUAGAAGAAAUUUUAGCUUCAAUGUGAAAUUAAUUUCUCUUAGACCUAUUUGUACAUGCCAAAAGAUCAAAAAUCGUAUCCAAUUGAAAACAUUACACACAAAAAUAAAAAAAAAAUCACUAAUUCACCUUAAACGCAGUAGGACCCUAAAAAAAUUACGAUUUUUACUAUCGGAGAUCGGUUAAAAAUACACAUUGCUUUUUUUUG